rnacentral:rRNA from 1 species
UACGAAGGGGGCUAGCGUUGCUCGGAAUGACUGGGCGUAAAGGGCGCGUAGGCGGUUCAUACAGUCAGAUGUGAAAUUCCUGGGCUCAACCUGGGGGCUGCAUUUGAUACGUGUGGACUAGAGUGGGGAAGAGGGUCGUGGAAUUCCCAGUGUAGAGGUGAAAUUCGUAGAUAUUGGGAAGAACACCGGUGGCGAAGGCGGCUCUCUGGCCCGCAACUGACGCUGAGGCGCGAAAGCGUGGGGAGCAAACAGG